GAUGAACGCUGGCGGCGUGCCUAAUACAUGCGAGUCGAGCGAAUGGAUUAAGAGCUUGCUCUUAUGAAGUUAGCGGCGGACGGGUGAGUAACACGUGGGUAACAUGCCCAUAAGACUGGGAUAACUCCGGGAAACCGGGGCUAAUACCGGAUAACAUUUUGAACCGCAUGGUUCGAAAUUGAAAGGCGGCUUCGGCUGUCACUUAUGGAUGGACCCGCGUCGCAUUAGCUAGUUGGUGAGGUAACGGCUCACCAAGGCCACGAUGCGUAGCCGACUUGAGAUGGUGAGCGGCCACACUGGGACUGGGACACGGCCCAGACCCCUACGGGAGGCAGCAGUAGGGAAUCGUCCGCAAGGGAAGAAGGUCUGACGGAGCAACGCCGCGUGAGUGAUGAAGGCUUUCGGGUCGUAAAACUCUGUUGUUAGGGAAGAACAAGUGCUAGUUGAAUAAGCUGACACCUUGACGGUACCUAACCAGAAAGCCACGGCUAACUACGUGCCAGCCGCCGCCGUAA
rnacentral:rRNA from 1 species